GAUCAACCCUCUUGUUUUCCCCUCCUGUGCUACUGAUUUGCUUGCUGUGUAUUCGAUUCGCGUUGCCAUGAAGGCGAAGCUCUAUAUUUAGCCAGCAUCAGAAUCGGGUUUAAGGGAGUGGAAUAAUGAGCUGGAACUGCCAGUUUCAAUGAGUAAGGUAUUUAGAGCAAAAGCCUGCCGGAGGAUUUCUCUUUUAUGAUAUCAAUAUACACGUGAUUGCGAAGGCAUAAAACGGGAUUUUGCCACGAGUGUCCACGGAGGCAACUUUUGGCUCUUCAGCAGAGAUUAGAUUGAGGGCAGGAGGCAUUUUUACUCCGCGACGAGCUCCCGGUGAGAGACUCGCGGGCUCACGCCGGCGCACGGAAGGUUCAGUGAGGGGCCAAGACUUUUGAGGUUUUGUAAGAAAUAAUGGCUGUCCACUCAUGAGAAAAAAACAGAGAAAUGAAAGAUGAGAAAUGAGAGAAAAGAAGAUUUUUCUCACCAUUUAAACUCAGAAGCUCUCAUAAAAAAUGUGACCAAGGGGAGAAGAUAUCACUGGCUACCUGGAUCACCUCGUUGGAUCAAUAUGGCUAUCCAUGACUUUUAUUAAUGAGAGGCAUCAGCAAGUCAAAUGUAAAGUAGAUAUUUGAAGUCAAAAGGAUGCUGGGAAGGAUGAAAAGGCCAAGACAUUUGACUACUUGACCUUAAGGCACAAAUCUGGACCAUUGUCUGCAUGGUUUAUCUUUGCAUACUGUUAGGAAAACUCGGCCUUUUUUUUUUUUUUUACUGUUCACAACGUUCAGCUUAGUAUAUUCUUGUGCAUUUAAAGAAACAUUGUAGAUGUCUUUAUAUUUAUGGUUUUCAGUUUUGCACAAGUGAAUUAAAAUCCAGAAUCAUUAUUGUUAUAAAACACAUAUGCAUGUUCUGAUAAUACCCUAACUUUCACUACAGUAAAAAAAAGCCCUAAAAAGUUUAGUAAAACGUAUUAUGUAUGACAAUAAUAAGUUAUAAUUAAAUCAUUCCUUUUUCCUAUUCAAAUAUCCAAUAAAAAGUGUUAUCAGCCAGGGAAGCAGAAGGUAGAUUAGGUAUCCCAAAACAACUGAAGUAAUAGCAAUGCUAUCAUUGUCCAUUGUUCCACAAACAAAACAAAAAAGUACUCCAGAGUUUCUAUAGAUUUUGGUAUCAUAGACUAUUUCAUAUCUCCUAAUAGUAAUGCUGGUGAGAAAUACUCUUUUAUGUUGAUGACCUCAGAGGCUUUUGUUGAAGACAAGGAAUAGACACUAGCCCAGUCAGUGAAUUCUGUCCAAUUUGGGAACCACAACUAUGCAAAUCUACUGGGAUCCCCCAGUACAUUGUACAACAUUUGGACUCAGAGCAGCACUACUUUACUGAUAGCACCUCAGUUGCCUUGACAUUUGAUUGAAUUUGUCAGCUACUGGGCAGUAGCAGUCAGGGGAGGCAAGAUUCCCGACCAAAAUUUGGGAUCUUCACAGGGUGUUGUUCAAGUUUUAUUGUGUCUUUUUUACUGAUAUGUUGUGUGUGGUCUUGUUGAAAACCCAAUGUUAUGCUGUAUCAUUUACGUUACUUUUAUCACUGUAUGGAUUAUGUUAUGCUGUCUGUAUAAAUCUUUAUGUUUUCGGACAUUGUUUACUCAAAGGAACUCAGAGAGUUGCAUAUUUGAAAAGGAAAGUAGGUUAAACUGCUAAGUAUUUCUUGCCAUUGUGUAAGUAGGGCAAGGACAAUUGCCACUCCAAAUGGCAGAAGGGGCCUCUAGUGGGAUUGAUAUCCAAGGCAUUGUCUGCUUGUACAGGGAAAAAUAAUCCCAUAACAGAAGGGGUAUCAGAGCAAAAUGGCCCAUUACCUAGAGAAUUCUGAGACCCAUGAGCAAUAAAGACAAUGCUGAUGAGGGCAGGGAAGGCCAUUUCUAGAUAUUUUAGGGCUAUCUGUGAGGUGGUCCUGGUUUUUGGAGUUUCUGGCCAUGUCUACAUGAGUGGGGGACUGCACAGUGGUCGG